rnacentral:lncRNA from 1 species
AGAAUUCUAGAAAAAUCUCUAAAGAAUAUCCUCAAAUAGUCAUGGAUAAUAGCCAGAAUUUUAGAAAAUUGGAAUUGAAAAAUCACUACUGUGUAAUCUGUGUUGAUUUUUAACAGUAAUUAUUUACAUAAACGGAUAAACCUUCAGCAUUUUAGCCUUCUCCUCAAGUGUUUCAGGGGAAUUUAGGUAUAAAAUCAAGGCUAGUUUCCCGCACUAGCAUGCUCCAUCAGCUUCCAUCGGUGACUCCAUCGAUAAGCUCUGCCUGGCCAAGGCCAGUUCAUUAAUAGCACCUACUGCAGCUUCAAUUCGCGCAUAAUCAACAGGGGCAACAGGGUGAGAAUUCUCACCGCCGAUCUACCUUCCACUUCCACACCAAUACUGGAACGUGUUCUGGAUCCAAGAGCGAAAGAUGAGUUCAGCAUAUAGAGGUUGGGAAGCUCGGAAUUCUACCUUUGCAUGUUUC